GCAGACUAGAGUGCGGUAGGGGAGAUUGGAAUUCCUGGUGUAGCGGUGGAAUGCGCAGAUAUCAGGAGGAACACCGAUGGCGAAGGCAGAUCUCUGGGCCGUAACUGACGCUGAGGAGCGAAAGGGUGGGGAGCAAACAGGCUUAGAUACCCUGGUAGUCCACCCCGUAAACGUUGGGAACUAGUUGUGGGGUCCAUUCCACGGAUUCCGUGACGCAGCUAACGCAUUAAGUUCCCCGCCUGGGGAGUACGGCCGCAAGGCUAAAACUCAAAGGAAUUGACGGGGACCCGCACAAGCGGCGGAGCAUGCGGAUUAAUUCGAUGCAACGCGAAGAACCUUACCAAGGCUUGACAUAUAGAGGAAACGUCUGGAAACAGUCGCCCCGCAAGGUCUCUAUACAGGUGGUGCAUGGGUUGUCGUCAGCUCGUGUCGUGAGAUGUUGGGUUAAGUCCCGCAACGAGCGCARCCCUCGUUCUAUGUUGCCAGCACGUAAUGGUGGGAACUCAUGGGAUACUGCCGGGGUCAACUCGGAGGAAGGUGGGGAUGACGUCAAAUCAUCAUGCCCCUUAUGUCUUGGRCUYCACGCAUGCUACAAUGGMCGGUACAAAGGSYUGCMACGGUWMCGUGAGGUGRAGCGAAUCCCWAAAAGCCGGGUUCCCAGWKCKGAUUGAGGUCUGCAACUCGACCUCAUGAAGUCGGAGUCGCUAGUAAUCGCAGAUCAGCAACGCUGCGGUGAAUACGUUCCCGGGUCUUGUACACACCGCCCGUCAAGUCAUGAAAGUCGGUAACACCUGAAGCCGGUGGCCCAACCCUUGUGGAGGGAGCCGUCGAAGGUGAUCAUCAC
rnacentral:rRNA from 1 species